rnacentral:lncRNA from 1 species
CUUUUCUUCCUCUACAGCCCCAACUUGUGAACUUGAUGGUGCUCAAUCUCUCCUUGUGCUAUAAUCUAAUUGCUAUUCCAAACAUAUCAAGUUCUUCAAAGCUUGAAGAACUCCUUCUCAAGGGAUGUAUCAGCCUAGUUGAGGUACCUUCUGAUGUUCAAUAUUUGACCAAGCUGAUAACAUUAGACCUCAGUCAAUGUCGAAAACUCAAGCGUCUUCCGCCUAAACUCGAAUCAGAGUCUCUUAAGCAUGUUAGAAUGAGUAGGUGUUCCAAUGUCAAUCACUGCCCACAGAUUAUUUCAAACGAGUUGGUGGAAUUGGAUUUAUCAUGGACACCUCUCCAAGAGCUACCUAGUGCAAUAUACAAUGUCAAGCAAGAUGGAGUCCUAAACCUCAGCGGUAAAAACAUUACCAAAUUUCCUGCAAUUACAACAAGCUUGAACACUUUUUCCUUGAUCUAUACUUCAAUAAGAGAGAUUGAUUUGUCUGAUUGUCAUCAACAUCAGACUUCUUCUGAAUUAAUAUUGCCGAGAUUUUACGAGCUGGAGCUUAAUGGAAAUAAGGAACUCCAAACCCUGUCGAAGAAUAUAUGGAAAAUGGUCUCUUAUAAACUCUACAUUUGGGGGUCCCCAUUAAUUGAAAGUCUACCGGAGAUAUCGGAGCCUGUUAUUGGCUUAGCUUAUCUUCAUAUAAGCUUUUGUGAAAGCCUCAAAAGCCUACCAUCUAGCAUCGGCAAUAUAAAAUCUCUCAAGCACCUUGUUUUAUAUAAGACGGAUAUUAAGUCACUACCUUCCAGUAUCCAAGAAUUGAGGGAGCUUGAUACAAUUUUCAUGCAGCACUGCAAGAGUCUCGAGACAAUCCCAAGCGAUAUCUAUAAGAUUCUCAACUUGAAAUAUUUGGCAGUGGCUAACUGUGAGCGUAUUCAAUAUCUACCAGAACUCCCACCAAAUCUGUGGGUAUUGACUGUAAGUGGUUGCAAGUCUUUACAAGCUCUACCAAGCAACACAUGUAAGCUGGUGCAUCUGAAGUCCCUCAAAUUUCAGGAUUGCCCACAAUUGGACCAGACCAUACCUGCUGAAAUCGUGGCGAAUUUCUUCGUUCAAGCCAGCUUGCCUUCGUCACCGAAGGUAACGUAAAUGUCACAGUGAUCUUUUUAGCCGUGAGAAGCGAGUUGUUUGUUAAAAAAAUGUUUGAUGAGGUUGUUUGUCUUAAUUUUUGGGUGACAGCGUGAAGUUGUAUGUUCAAGAAGCGAGCUUCCGGACUGGUUUAUGUACAAAAGCAUGAAUAGCAGUGUGAAGGUGGAGUUGCCUCUUCCUAAUCAUGGCGACCAACCAAUGAUUAUGAAGGGAAUUGCAUUCGGUCUUGUGUUUUCUCCCCCCUAUAGGGAGACUAUAAGAUGCGAUUGCAAGGUCGGGAACACCAUCAUUGCAUCUUGGUCUUCCUGUGUCUUUGGAUUUAAAGGUGAGAACUCACCAGAAAAGCUUUGGUUGCAGUGCGACAAGUGGGAUGUGGGAAGUAAAGAAGAUGAAGCAUGGUAUGUGAAGUAUGCUGGGCUCUCUGUUUCAUUCUAUUUCUAUGAAGAAGACGAUAAGGAGAUCAAAAUAAAAGAAUGUGGAGUCUCUCUGAUAUACUAAAAAGGACAUGACAAUAAAUUUGUUAAUCAACAUGAUUCUCAAGUUUAAUUUUGUUGUAUCAUCCUAUCUUCUACUAUUCCCUAUGGAAUUUGGUUGAGCCAUUAAAAACUCAUUAGCGGCUCCUAACGUCAAUUUCUGACUUGGUGACUCUCCUCUCAAUUCCAAAAAGCAACAAUACGAGGGAAAAACAAACUGAAAAAGUGGGUUUGCAACACGUGUCCUCUCAUUCCUUCCCAAUCCCAUGCAUGCAACUAAUAACCCCCUGUUCACUGGCUUUAGGUAUAAUGUUUAUCUAACUAAAUGUAUAAGGUAAAAUGUUACGUGUUUAUUUUCGUUUAUUUUGAACUCAUUUAGAAGACCACUGUUCUUUUUUGGGAAAUAGAAAAAGGGCCACCUAGUCCAGUCCUAUCCCCCUUAUUGUUUUAGAUGUUUCGGAAAACUGACCAUACAGUUGAUUAUCUUACUUACAAAGGUUAUAAUUUAAUUUUUAGGAUGCAUAUAUAUGGUGCCGAUUCGAAAUAGGUCAUGGACUUCCUAGAUGGACUCUCUACCAUAUUUCGGGGGUGUUGAGUCACGUUUGAUUUGAAAGUAGUUUUUUUAUUUAUCUUUAUAGUUGAAAUCACAUAUAUCUCAUUAACAAUAACAAUCAAAAUUCUUAGUUCAUUUAGUUAUUAUUUGAGGCGCUUUAUUGCGAAAAUUGUUAUAUUCUCAAACGUAUCCCAUCAGUUUGUAUCAAUUGGUAUAUUCUCCAAUGUAAAGGCUUCAAUUUAGUUGAAGAAAAUAUUGCGAGACGACGAGGAUCGAGUUAGCUUGAUUUUUUGUUUGUUACAGUUUGAGUUUGGAGAGGAGUAUAUGAAUAAUGAUUUAGUUCUANNNNNNNNNNNNNNNNNGAAAACACAAUAGAACAAAAAAGACAAGUUACAAAAAAAGGACCCUGAUCAUGAAAAUAUUAAAAGAAUAGGGAGAAAUUCAAUUUUUCUAAAUCAUGUAAAAAAAACUCUAAAUUUGAUUGGGUGGGAAUAUGAAGGGAAAGUAUAAAUGAUUGGAGGAAAAAUGAUUUUAUUUAUUUUUAUANNNNNNNNNNNNNNNNNNNNNNNNNNNNNNNNNNNNNNNNNNNNNNNNNNNNNNNNNNNNNNNNNNNNNNNNNNNNNNNNNNNNNNNNNNNNNNNNNNNNNNNNNNNNNNNNNNNNNNNNNNNNNNNNNNNNNNNNNNNNNNNNNNNNNNNNNNNNNNNNNNNNNNNNNNNNNNNNNNNNNNNNNNNNNNNNNNNNNNNNNNNNNNNNNNNNNNNNNNNNNNNNNNNNNNNNNNNNNNNNNNNNNNNNNNNNNNNNNNNNNNNNNNNNNNNNNNNNNNNNNNNNNNNNNNNNNNNNNNNNNNNNNNNNNNNNNNNNNNNNNNNNNNNNNNNNNNNNNNNNNNNNNNNNNNNNNNNNNNNNNNNNNNNNNNNNNNNNNNNNNNNNNNNNNNNNNNNNNNNNNNNNNNNNNNNNNNNNNNNNNNNNNNNNNNNNNNNNNNNNNNNNNNNNNNNNNNNNNNNNNNNNNNNNNNNNNNNNNNNNNNNNNNNNNNNNNNNNNNNNNNNNNNNNNNNNNNNNNNNNNNNNNNNNNNNNNNNNNNNNNNNNNNNNNNNNNNNNNNNNNNNNNNNNNNNNNNNNNNNNNNNNNNNNNNNNNNNNNNNNNNNNNNNNNNNNNNNNNNNNNNNNNNNNNNNNNNNNNNNNNNNNNNNNNNNNNNNNNNNNNNNNNNNNNNNNNNNNNNNNNNNNNNNNNNNNNNNNNNNNUUCCAAAAGGAUGUCCAAUUUCAUCAUUAAAUAAAUUAUAUAUAUAUCCCACCCAUGAUAUCAAGAUUGGAUCAAAACAACUUCAAUAAAGCUUUUUCCUCAAAGAGGGGGACCCUUAUGAACAAAGAUGCUUUUCUUUCACAAUAAUGCUACAAAUAAAAACAAACAAUCUAGCCAUUAAAAGUGGGUAGAGAGAGAUCAGAAUAACAAUGGGGGGUCUACUUUAUUUCUCCCUCCAUGUGUUCAUAACAAAACCAUUUUUUCAUAACAAAAAGGUCCACUAAAACUAUCAUGAAAAGUUGGAAUGUAAGUGAAUUUAGAUAUAAAGUUGGGAGGUAUGAUGAGAAUAUUCUUAUAACAAGUUAUAAAAUUUUGAUGAUUGAUGGAGAAGUAAACUUAGCAUUGAAGGUAGGUGAAGCUAUACUUCAAUUAGUUUGCAAGCAAUUGAGGUUUUGUGUUAAUGUAGUUGGGUGAAAUAAAUGGAGUACAUAUGGCUUUCAAAAUGAAACCAGUAUUUAUAUGUUUAAUCUGAUUAUCUAUCGGAGACAAUUUUUUAAAAAAAUUAUGUGUGUUAUAAAGCAUUCAUUCACUAUUGACAUGAGACAUCAUCUAGCUCAGGGAUGUUUUUUAGACUAGCAAUAAGGCACCUUUCGAAAAAUUACCCUUAUCGUGAAUCAUUUUGAACAUUUAUAAACAUAAUAAACUUAUGGUAGUUUGAAGAUAUGAUUAGCAUACAGAGUGAUUUUUCACUAACUCGAAAUAAAUUUAUAUGUAUUUUUAAUGACAGAGUACCGAUAAUUGCAUUAUAAAGAAUUAAAUUAGAAAGUGUACAAAAAUACAAGUUGGGACCAAUGUCUUGUCCAUUCCACAACAAAUUAUGAACUUUUAUAUUCUGAUAACUAAUAUGGCAAAUUAUUCAAGAAAAAAAUUAAAAUAAGAUUGGCUUCACGUUGUCACCUAAUUUAAUUAAUUAAGGUUUAGAAAGUCCACCACAGAGACCAAAAGUUGAUGGCGAUGUCGUGGCUGUACACAGUUAUGUUUUCUUCUUCAUGUCUUAAUUUGUCACAAGAUUCCUUCAAAGAUGUGGUAAAACUCGAUCAAUUGGUCAGCAAUCUGUGUUUUAACGGUUGUUACAUUCAUAUAUAUCUUCAUUUUAUUUCAUUUGAUACGUCGAUACACCGAACUUAUCUCUGAAUCUAGAAUGGUUAACUCACCAUCUACCAUUGGGAUAAAAAAGCAAAGGCAUUAGAUACUAGUGCAUCUUUCUCUCCAUUACUGACCUUACCUCACCAUUAACAAUAGCAAAAAUUCAAAACCGACAAUCCCCUCUUGCCAAAUUUAAACACACAUCACUUUCCCAAAACAAAAGCAGAAGAAAACACACCACACCAUGACACCCACCACUUCAUCAUCUUCAUCGUCGUCUCUCUCCCCACCAUUACUGAACUAAAACCAGAGCUCUCAAUUCCCUCUUCUUCUCUUUUAUCUAAUCCAACAAUGGCGGGAGCUAAGCUAGUGGUGGAGGUAAUCGACGCCGUCGACCUAAUGCCGAAAGACGGCCAAGGCUCAGCGAGCCCAUAUGUUGAGGUGGAAUUCAACGGCACAAAGCUAAGAACUUCGACAAAAUCCAAAGACCUCAACCCACAGUGGAACGAGAAGCUUGUUUUCAAUUUAAGCAACGACGACGCCAGAGAUCUACCUAACUCCACCAUUCAAGUAGUUGUCUAUAACCAUGGAAACGACGUCGUACCACCUAAGAACUUCCUCGGCAGAGUCAGAAUCUCUGGCUCCUCUGUUGUUUUCUCUGAUGAAGGUGAAUCGGUUGGUGCUCAGCCUUACCCGCUUGAUAAGCGUGGGCUUUUUUCACAUAUUAAGGGGGAGAUUCUGUUGAAAGUCUAUGCUUCUGUCGGGAAUCGCCGCCGUCCGGCGGCGAUGGCGACGGCUGCUGAAGUUGAGAUCGACCCGGGUUCGAAUUCGGAUUCGGUUGAAGAAGAUGAAUUUCGUCGUAAGCGGGAUAAUCAUGAACAGGGUGAGAUGAAGGAGGAUAAGAAACACAAGGAGAAGGAUAAAGUUCGCACCUUUGACUCAAUUGGCGGCGGCGGCGGAGGGUUUAGAGAAACCAACCAGAAUUCGAAUUCAGCUGAAGAAGAAGAGUUUCAUCAUAAUCGGCAUAAUCAUGAACAUGGUGAGAUGAAGGAGAAGAAGAAGCACAAGGAGAAGGAUAAAGUUCGUAUCUUUCACUCAAUUGGCCACAACCAGAGCCACCACCAUCAACAACUGCAGCCGCCGCCGCGGUACGGCGGUGGCGGCGGGUUUGAAACGCAGUAUCAUGUGAUGAGGGAUACAACGCCGGUGGUGGAGACAAGAACGAGCUACGCAAGAGCUGCAACACCAGUAGCGAGCUCAGUGAUGCAUCAUAUGCAUAUGCCGAAGCAGAAUCCGGAGUUCUUGCUAGUGGAGACGAGUCCGCCAUUGGCAGCUAGGAUGAGGUACAACAAAGGAGGAGACAAGACGUCGAGCACUUACGAUUUAGUCGAAAAAAUGCAUUUCUUGUAUGUCAGCGUUGUGAAGUGCAGAGAUCUUCCUGUAAUGGAUGUCACAGGGAGUUUAGAUCCUUAUGUGGAAGUGAAGUUAGGGAACUACAAGGGGAUGACAAAGCAUCAUGAAAAGAAUCAGAAUCCGACAUGGCAUCAGAUUUUCGCCUUUUCGAAGGAGCGGUUACAGUCAAAUUUGCUGGAAGUUGUUGUGAAAGAUAAGGACUUUGCUAAGGAUGAUUUCGUCGGGAGGGUGAACUUCGAUCUGACCGAGGUUCCUGUUCGAGUUCCACCGGAUAGUCCGUUGGCUCCACAAUGGUAUAGGCUGGAGGAUAAGAAAGGUUACAAAGGGAGAGGUGGAGAGAUCGUGCUUGCUGUAUGGAUCUGUACACAAGCUGAUGAAGCAUUUCCUGAAGCUUGGCAUAGUGAUGCUCAUGAUAUUGGUCAUAUAAACCUGGCGAAUACGAGAUCGAAGGUAUAUUUCUCGCCGAAGCUGUAUUAUUUACGAGUUAAAGUGUUUGAGGCUCAGGAUUUAGUACCUUACGAUAGAAGUCGAGUUCCCGACACGUAUGUGAAAGUCGUGUUGGGGAGUCAAGGGAGAAACACUAGACCUUCUCAGAUGAGGACUGUGAAUCCGAUUUGGGGGGAAGAGCUAAUGUACGUUGCUUCCGAGCCAUUCGAGGAAUUUAUCAUCGUUUCAGUUGAGGAUAGAGUUGGGCCGGGGAGAGAUGAGACAUUGGGGAGGGUUGUUGUGUCGUUUCGAGAUGUUCCUCAGAGAUUGGAAACCAGUAAGAUGCCCGAACCGAGGUGGUUCAAUCUGAUGAGGCCGUCGUAUGGCGACGAGGAUGGGAAGGAGAGGCAUAAGGAGAAGUUUAGCAGCAAGAUUCUUCUUGGGUUGACUUUAGAAGCAGGGUAUCAUGUUCUUGAUGAGUCUACACAUUUCAGCAGCAAUCUCCAGCCGAGUUCAAAGCAUUUGAGGAAGUCGAAUAUCGGGAUACUUGAGCUUGGGAUACUGAGUGCUAGGAAUUUGCUGCCGAUGAAGGGCAGGGAUGGGAGGACGACCGAUUCUUACUGUGUGGCGAAGUAUGGUAACAAAUGGGUUCGAACUCGGACACUCCUCAACACCCUGCAUCCGAAAUGGAACGAGCAGUUCAGUUGGGAAGUUUUCGAUCCCUGCACUGUGAUCACAAUCGGAGUAUUCGACAAUUGGCACACAAAUGGACACACAGACGCACAGGAUAAGAGAAUAGGCAAGGUGAGAAUCCGACUCUCGACUCUAGAAACCGAUCGAAUCUACACACAUUACUAUCCAUUACUCGUUCUCCAACCGAACGGAUUAAAAAAGCACGGAGAGAUUCAGCUAGCUUUGAGAUUCACCUGCACUGCUUGGGUCAACAUGGUGGAACAAUACAGCAGACCAUUACUCCCCAAGAUGCAUUAUGCACAUCCAAUCCCUGUUCGUUACAUCGACUGGCUAAGACACCAAGCUAUGCAGAUCGUCGCAACAAGACUCGCCAGAGCAGAACCGCCCUUGAGACGAGAAGUAGUCGAGUACAUGUUGGACGUUGAUUACCACAUGUGGAGUUUACGACGAAGCAAAGCGAACUUCCACCGUAUAAUGUCGGUAUUAUCAACCGUGACAGGAGUUUUCAAGUGGUUCAACGAAAUCUGUUACUGGAGAAACCCGAUAACGACAUGUUUGGUUCAUAUCCUGUUCUUGAUCCUUGUUUGCUACCCUGAACUUGUCCUGCCUACUGUCUUUCUGUACUUAUUCGUGAUCGGGUUAUGGAACUACCGGUUUCGUCCUAGGCAUCCUCCGCAUAUGGACAUAAGGCUGUUUCAAGCGGAACAUGUUCAUCCGGACGAGCUGGAUGAAGAAUUCGAUUCGUUUCCAACUUCUAGACCGGUGGAUAUUGUAAGGAUGAGGUAUGACAGGCUGAGGAGUGUUGCGGGGAGGUUUCAGACCGUGAUUGGGGAUCUUGCGAGCCAGGGGGAGAGGGCUCAUGCUAUAUUGAGCUGGAGGGAUCCGAGGGCUACUGCGAUCUUUAUCGUGUUUGCACUUGUUUCUGCUGUGUUUAUCUAUGUCACACCGUUCCAGGUUGUGGCGGUUCUUGUUGGUGUGUUCAUGCUUCGACAUCCCAGGUUCCGGAGCCGGAUGCCUUCUGUCCCUGUCAACUUCUUCAAGAGAUUGCCCGCGAAAUCCGAUCUGUUGCUAUGAGAAUGGAGAUGCAAGAACUUCCCUCGAGUUUUUUCGGCUCCUGGUAUUUGAGAUGAGCCAUUAAUAUUCUUCAACAAAGGUGAAUAAUCAAUUUGGAUUAUAUGAUAUUUGUAUACUCAAGUUCAUGAACAUGAUUCUGUUUCUGUGUAAUUGUGAUGAAGCAUAUAGCAUAUAUAUUGUACGGAACCUACACAUAUUGUUGCUGGCAGUUUUUCAACUGGAUUGUCAAUACAUAAUGGACAGCUGCAUUCCCUUCCAUUCAAAUGUUCGAAUAUUCCGACCAAGAUCUUUGCUUUUUCGGUAGCUUCGAACGAUUGAAACUGUUUAAUAUCAGAUCUACAGCAGUAAUGAUGAACAUUGCUACAGGCAGAUUUCAUAGUGGUGUGUCAAUACAGAAUAAACAGCUGCAUUCAUUGCAUUCAAUCAAAAUGUUUCGCAGCUUUUUAUUCCAAAGAGGUUAAUGCUCAGCCUUUUCCAGUUCAAAAGAAAGGGUAAAUCAGUAAAUGUCUCAGCUUAUUUUGGCAAACUCAGUCUGUAAAGAUUCCAUUUUUGGUGGUCCAAAACCUUUUCAAGAGUCCCCACAACCAAUCUAUUACUACAAAGAGGCCAAAAUAAGAUACAUAGCCCGGUUUUCGAACCGGUUUUAUCACUUCUGGUCAACCGAUCAAGACGGUGGUGGAUAUCUGUAACAAAAUUUUGAAGGUGGUACAUUGUUAAUUUGUGUAUGCUACGAUUUUUGUGGAACUAGACGAAUAAUCCAUCGAUGCUUGUUACGUGACACAGAUGGGUAACGCGUGGCAAUGGACCGUAUGAAUAUAGGGUAUGUAUUGAGCUUUCGAGUUGAAUUGAAAGGAUACAUGAUCAUGACUAUAGUUGGCAGUGGGAAAGCGGAUACCAUUGUAAGUAUGAGUGCAACUGAAUUUGCACAUUACGAUCCAAGACGAGUUUGCUAACUAGAACUCUUAUAUGAUCGCAUGUUUUCAUGAGAUAUUAAAUCAAGACUGGAGGGUUAAAGUUGAGGAGCAUGUUUUUUGAGAACAACACUAGCUAGAUGGGUUGGACGUCACAUUUUGUAUGACUUGCUUGAAAUUUUACGAUGGUUAGAAAUGAAAAUAGACACCAAGAAUUCAACAACGAUCAUACAAAGGCCAAAAUAAGGGCACAUCCAUGGGAAAGAAAGAGCAAAUACAAACACUCAAAACACAAAGCAUCCAUCUUUUUCACUUCCAAAACUUGCAACACAAUAAGUUACACACAAAAUCACAUUACAGAUCUCUCAGACACUUAGGGGGAUGAUCUUGAACCUGUAAAGAAGCCUCUUCUUCUUCGCCGUCGGGUUGUCGAUCGUGAGCAGUAUCUUCCCCAGUUCACUCACCUUGAACUUGCUUGACACCACCGGCUCACUCAUCGGAGUCAUCUUCGUCGGUUUCUGGAUUAUAACCGUGUACGAGUCCUUCUGAUCGGGGACGAAUUCAGCACCAUAGCUCACUUCCCAUCCCACUACUCGGACCUCCCAUAUGAACACACAUUUCUGCACAGAUGCCCUUAUGAUCAUUCACCACUAUUGAAGAGAAAAGAAAAAAGUUACAAGCUUUAUGUGUUUUAUGUUUAUUACCUCAUAAAUUAUGAUCUCAACGGUUUGCUUGGUGCCCGAGUUCACAACGAUGUCUGUGACUGGAUCGGAGAAGGCGAAUUUAUCGGGGUUGCAAUCGCAGUCCUCGACGCUCAUUCCACCGUACUGGAUCGGUACUUCUUCAGGUGGUAUAUAUCUGUAAAAUGCAGCAUCACAAUCAUGAGUUUCUAAACCAAACAAAAGCCAUGGAAAAUGACCGACUAAUCGAACCGAAACAGAAAGAAACUAACUUGAACAGAGUUUCUGGCGAUCUGGCCGGGCUGGCGAAUACGAACUUGCUCUUGGUUCUCUGGGUCAUGAAUGGACUCAUCAUUGUGUAGAAUGCAUAAUACCACCAUGGAACGUUAAUGAACACCUACACAAUUGCAACAAAUCGAAAUUCGAACGAAUCGAUUCAAUCCAUACACCCCCAAUGUAUAUACAAACAUUUCCACAGGAUACAUUCAUCAAUCAAACUUAUGUCAAUCGAAUUCGAGCUCGAAAACAAUUACCUGUUUGGCGACGAAUUCGGGGUAAUUAUCCUGCAGAAGCUGGAGAGCUUGUUUAGUAGCCAAUCUGAGCUCCUGCUUACCCAAUCCAGGAGAAUUUUUCAGAUCAUUCACCUGAAAGAUCGUCGAAACCCCUCCCGGCACGAAAUCGAGACUCCUAACACUCUUCUCCAAGCACCGAAUCCGCCACCUCAAGAACUUCAUCCGCUUCUCCUCGUCGGAAAACGUCUUCUGAUACAGCUCCUUGUUCUGGAACUCUCCAAACACGUUGUAACAGACCGGAUGGCAGUCUCGAUCGUGGCCGUGCAUGAACAUCACCUUCUCCAGAUCGUCGCCUAGAAGAUCUUCCUCCUCUACCAGCUCGUCGAUUCGGAACUCUUUCCUCCACCGGAUUGUGUUCUUCAGCAUUGUAAGAGCUUCUUUCACUUUGAAAUCCCGUGCCCUCAGGAACUUCAGCAGUACGACGUCGCUUCUGUCGUCUUUCAGCAGCGGUAUCCCCCAAAUCGAAACCUCCGCCGCCGCCGCCGUGGCUGGGUCUUCAGUUUCUAUCUCUUCCUGGUCCGCUUUCUUGUACUCGUCUAGAGACUCGAUUUCUUGAACUCGUCAAGAGCCUUCCUUUCCGAAUCAGACAGAUCGGUCACUCGAUUGCUCUCUUCCUUAAACGAAACCAGAGACUGAGGUGGAACAUUAUUACCCCUCACAAGCUUAUCAUCAGACUCGCCGGCGGCGAGCUCCUCCCUGAUAACAACAGACUUAACAUCCGUAGCAGCAGCUGCCUCUUCUUUCUCCAUCAUUUCCAGUACCGACUUUCUCUUACUGGAAGAAGCCACCUUUACCUCCGACGUCGGCGGCUCUGCGGCGGAUGAAUCGUAGGGGGAAACCUCGGCGGCUGGUGUUUGCUCUGGCGGCGCUGCGGCGGAUGGCUCGUCCGGAGAAACCUCCGCGGUUGGUGUUUGCUCUGACGGCGGCGGUGGUGGGAGUACCAAUAUUACUGGAAGCUCUUCAGUAUCUGAUUGAGGAGGAGGAGGAGGAGGAAGACUUGAAGAUGGCAGCGGUGAAGCGAUGGAGGGAGGAGGUUCGUCGGCCAUCGGAGAUGAGAGUGAGAGAAGAGAGUGACGACAAGGGGAGAAAUGAGCGGACUUUGUCGUUGUGAAGUAAUCUGCAUCUAGAGCAAUCUACAAAAAUAUCUAAAUCCCAACUAGUAUAGAUCCAAGUGACUAAUUUGUAGAAACAUAAUAGCUGAUUGACUAUUUGAGUAAAAUAUCAAAAUAGUUUAUAUUCGGUUCUAAAUUCCGCUACAUUUCCUCUAGCGUCUCAAUAGUGUUAGAGUUCGCUUCAAAAUCCAAAGUAUUGAAAAAACGGUUAAAGCGACCGUUAAAAGAUCCACGUGGGUGGACCCGACUUUUUUUAUUUUUCCCGCGACCCAAGACAGUUAUUAGUUCUACGGAUAUUUUGAUAUAAGAACGUUGUAUUGCCUAAGAGUCCAAACAAGUUAAUAGUUUUUGUUAGAGUUAGACCGAAACUCUUGAUAAACCAAAUGAGACUUGAUGUUUACAUAAAUCUGUAUAAUAAAGCUUACUUAAAACAUGCAAAUGCGGUCCAAUAAUUAAUUAAUUUUUCGUUCAAAUCUGCUUUAACAAACCUAAUUAGAUGGAAGGAAACAUGUAUCGUCUCACCUUUAGUCUCAGCAGACUAUAAAAACAAGUGAUUAAUAUUUAAAUGGUCAUAAGUUGACUGAGGAACAUAUGAGAAUCUAACUAGUUAACCACCAAGUAGGUAUGCUUAGUAUGCAAGUGACCAUAUACAAACACGUAUUACAAGUCAACCAAUUUUCAAUAUAUGUUUUUUUAUCGGGUAAUUGUAAGACCGAUCAACUCGUCAAACUAAACAUCUUUGGCUAGCCAUAAAUUGACUCUGUGAUUGAAUGAGAAACACAGAGAAUUUGAGUGGUUAGUCGAGUUAGUAUGCUAGUGUUCAAUAGACAAACAUCCUCGAAUAAACAUGUUUUUGGCUUCAUUUAUUUAACAAUUAGUCAUGGAAUUGUCGAUCGAUUAAAACGAAAUCGUAAUCUCUAGCCGAUAAUAUGCCCCGAUGGUUAAAGAAAAUGUCCCAAAAAUGAUAGCCAUGAUUGAUGAGCAAAGUCUAUAGUCUUAACAGUUUGCAAGUGAGUGCACCAACAACUCAAUGUUGGUCACCUUCCAAUUUUAUUACAUCAAAAAAUUGAUUGCAUCUUCAACUAAUUGAUUUCAAUUCAUCUCCUCAAUCAAUUAAAAUUGAAUUCUGCCUCUCUUCACUUUUGCUACAUAAAAAAGCUGUAAGUUGCUUUGAAAUCCCACUCAUCCCACACUUCUUUCUUCAUUCUCUGUUCUCGUUCUUUUCUCUCUUGUAGUAAUUUCUUUACGAGUAGAUUGAUGGGUGAUAGAAAAUUUUGAUAAAUAUUUUUUUGUGAGUGUAAUUAUUAUUUUGAGAUUGAGAAAUACUUGAGAGAUACUAUAUUUGGAUCGGCUCAAAUCGCCUUAUAGCUACACUAUUAUAGUAACGAAAUGCUCGUAGCUGUUGCCGCUGCCGUAGAUGUACUCUCCACAUUGGAAGGAAACUACGUAAAUGCCGAUGUUAUUUACUUACUGUUUUACGCUUGGUAAUUUUGUGAAUGUGAUAUAUUACAGUGUUAAAUUAUUAAAAUAAAUUGUUGACUAAGAGUAUCGUUUUUUGGUAUUCACUUAAUAUGAUUUAAUAUUUUAAUAUAUUCACUUGAUUCACAUCCGUUGCGCCCCAACACUCAACUGGUUUUCAAUCCCAUUUUGUUAUCGAGUUAUUCCGACCAACUCGAAAAACCAAGCGUUGGGUUCUGGUCAGCUUUAGGUUGACUCAGUUGACUAAAUAGGUAUAUGGUUUGGUGGGUACAACAAUAAAAGCUUUCGACUUUCGCCGCCGGAAACAAGCCCAACAACCCCAGAUGUACGGCCAAAAUCUCCGGCGAGCGUUGCAGAAAUCAACCAGCACCGUCGCCGGCGUCUCAUCCAGCUCCCUCUCUUCCCGCCACCUCCUCCCUCUCCGUUCCUUCUCAGGUCAAAUAUCGCCGCAUUCCAUUUCAUCAUUUCCUCUCAUUUUACUGUUCCACUGCUUAUCUCCGAUUCUCUCUUACUGAUUCUCCUGCUUCAGAUACAUUCCGUAAGAAGGAGGAUCCGAGCAUGGUCGGAGUAGGCGGUAAGGACGAAGACGUCACUCGCGUUCUCUUCUGCGGGCCUAAUUUCCCCGCGUCGCAUAACUACACCAGAGAGUAUUUGGCCAAGUACCAUUUCAUUCAGGUAAUAUAAACUGAUUCUACUUUGAAAUUCAAUCUCCAGUAUUCAAUCGGAGAUAAAGUCUGUAAAGUUGUAUUGUAGGUUGAUGAUGUUCCACUCAGUGAAGUGCCCGAUGCCAUAUCGAAGUACCACCUGUGCGUGGUGAAGGACAUGAAGCUAGAUUCGAAUGUGCUUUCCAGGGCGAAUCGGAUGAAGGUCGUAAUGCAGUAUGGCGUUGGGAUUGAAGGUAGCUUAACAGUUUGUUAUUUCUUUGAUUCAAGUGUUUGUGCUAUCUUUCUGUAACUUUGUUUAUGAUGAUAGGUGUGGAUAUCGAUGCUGCUACGAAGUUCGGGAUCAAAGUUGCGAGGAUUCCCAGCGAUGUAACGGGGAAUGCAACUUCAUGCGCUGAGAUGAGUAUCUAUCUGAUGUUAGGUCUUCUCCGCAAGCAGGUUUGUAAUUGUGUAUACUGAAUUUGCCAAGAUGUAACUCUGAUCUGUUGCUAUAAGAUAUUACUAUGAUCCAUGGUUUGAUCUAUUAAGGUACUGAUUCCAUGUUUAUGAUCCAUAGCAUGAGCUUCAAGUUUCGGUGCAGCAGAAAAAGCUAGGAGAACCAAUUGGUGACACAUUAUUUGGAAAAACAGUGAGUUUCUCAAAAUCUAAUGGUUGUUUUAAAUGAGUUAUAGUAAAUUUAAGUUUUUUUCAGUCUCUGGCAUAUGAUUUCGGUUUUUUCUUUUGAAGGUAUUCAUAUUGGGGUAUGGAAACAUAGGGAUUGAGUUGGCUAAGCGACUGAAGCCAUUCGGUGUGAGAAUCAUCGCCACAAAGAGGAGCUGGCUGCUUCAUUCUAAUGGUAAUUCAGCAUCAUCUACUGGUGAGACAGUUCAUGAUCUGGUGGAUGAGAAGGGUAGUCACGAACAGAUCCACGAGUUCGCUAGCAAGGCAGACAUUGUUGUUUGCUGCUUGUGUAUGAACAAGGAGACGGUAUAAGAACGAUGCAAUUAUUCCCUUCAUUUCCAUACUUUACGCUGCUGCAUAUCUAAUUUCACUUUGCUGCACUAUUCGAAUCAUCCAGGUCGGUAUAGUAAACGCAUCUUUCUUAUCUUCAAUGAGAAAGGUUCGUUCUUUCUGAUCACUUGAUCAUGGCCUGGCUACUAAGGUUAUGAGAUGCUCUGUACAUUCUAUUUUUUCAUUUUCCAGGGUUCCCUACUGGUAAACAUUGCUCGAGGCGGUUUGCUAGACUACUCAGCGGUUUUCGAGUACCUUAAGUCAGGACACCUCGGUGGCUUGGGCAUCGAUGUCGCCUGGACCGAGCCAUUUGAUCCUAACGAUCCGAUUCUGAAGCUCGACAACGUGAUAAUCACUCCUCAUGUAGCAGGUGUUACAGAACACUCCUACAGAUCCAUGGCUAAGGUAGUUGGAAAUCAAAAGUUUUAAACUUUUAAUGUCGUAGAUUCAAAAAUCUUCUUACAAUGUAAUCUUAAAAAUUGCAGGUUGUUGGAGAUAUUGCCCUUCAACUCCAUAAAGGCGAUUCUCUUACGGGCAUAGAGUGCAUAAACUGACCGAUAAAAUCUCACCGAUAUGAUCUCCGGUACAAUUUCACGAAACAUCAAGAGGACCCAGUUGUAGAGAGUAAUAAGUAGAGUGACUAAGUAGCAAGAAUGUAAUUGAGCUCUUUCUUACUCCCUUCAUAUGACCGUAGUUCGGUUUACAUUUCGAUUUCGAGAAUAGGGUUAGGGACAAAAUCUAUUAUUUCGAAACAUUCAUCCGAUUCGAGCAAGCUGCUCUAUAUUGAUAGGGUAAACAUAGCUCAUGUCUCCAUUGAAAGCUUUCUUCCCCAUCAUCACAUUCACCGCCUCGGUCGGGUGGAACGCGUCCCAAAAAAUGUAUUGAGCCCGGUUUCUGCACGGUGUCUGGAACGGUAAGCACGUUAUCUGUCCGGCAUUCCUCCCAAUCCCGCAGCAGCCUCUAUUCGUCACCAUAAACCCUGCACCCCAAACCACAAAAGAACACAUUUUCCAUGAAUUUCGUUAAAACUCCAAAAUUUUCUCACUUUUGGAUUUGAGCUUUUGUGUGUGCAUACCAUAGUUUCUCGAGUUGGCGAGCAUGUCGCUGAACAUUCGAUGGAUGUCGAUAUAAACGAACCUUGCCCCGGGUAGGUUCGAGUUCAAGUGGUUGAUCAUUGCCUUCACGUUUUGGUUGAAGGGAUAAAUGAGAUUGUUUACUUGCUCAGAGCAACGUCCAGCUGGGCUUUGGGCCAAAAUGCUGGGGAUACAGCCCAUUACUCCAAGCCCAGCUAUCGCCACUUUUCUGGCUCCCAGAUUGUAAAGCAUCUACGGCCCAAAAUGUAAAAAUUUGUUAGGUCAUUGAAAAAAAAUACUAAUUACGGUUAAGUAACCGAGUUGAUUGAAUUUUAAGUUACGAAGUGAACACAUUAAGAAUGGUUUAGAAACGAGUAUUUUACGGUGAGCUGGCGGGUGUAUUGCUGGACCAACAAGUCGGCAUACUGUUGACCGUUAUACUGUUGUCGAGUCGGGUAAUUGGGCAUGAGGUAGUUGUUGAGGUAAUCGUUACUUCCCAUUCCAACAAAGAAGAUGCUUCGGCCAAUGCCUCGAGCAAUGUCAAUUGCUCCGAGGUUGCCGGACAAUCGGUCUAGAGUGUUCUGGAAGUUCCUUAUUUGUUGGUCGAAUGGUAUCCGACCCACCUGCAUGGCACCACCGCGAUAAAAUUAGAAAGAAUGAGGACCAUAACGGAUAUUUUCCAUUCAAAGAGUGAGGAAUCUUAUCAUCACUAUCUAGAUUCUAACAUCCAUGCAAAAACAAAUAAUAUUUAUGACGUCACGGAAGCUUAAUUAUCACAAAGUUAAAAAGAGAUCUCACGAAGUUUCUUCCGGUGGCGUCAAGGAUCCCGGCGGCGGCGGAGGCAUAGUUAACGCCGUGAGUCAGGUCGCCGCCUUGAGUGUACGGUGGAAUCAACGGCAACCCCAGUUGCUCAGCUGCAUGCAUGCAAAACAACUCCCACAACUUUAAUUAAUUUCAUCACCUUCAUAAAUCAAUCAAAGAUCGUUUCAGUUUAUGAUGUACGAACCGAUUUCGUCGACCAUGGUGUAUCCAUUGCAGAACCGGCCGGUGGGACCGCCGUUGAAGUCGAUGCCGUAAGGGAAGUAGUUGGCCUUGGCAAAGGAAGGCAAGUUGUUGUUGUUGCCGUUGUCGAUCAGCGAGUCGCCGAACACGAACAACGCCGGAGCUAGUGCUUGCGGCCUCUGCCGACCUCGUCGGGCGCCGGUGGAAACAUCUCCUCCUCCGUCGCCUCCGACGGUGCCAUUGAAGAACUGGCCGCUAACCAGUUGGCAAAAUGUGGCCAGAAUUGCUACGAGAGCAAAAAGCUUGGUGCUUGAAGCCAUUUUGGUACUGAAAAGGUGAAUAUUAAGAACAAGUGAAAUGGGUUUUUAUAAUGGGAGGUGGGAAUUAAGUUUUGUAGUAAAAUAGUAAUAAUUCAUAGUCGGGGUAGUUAGGAUAAGAGUAAAUGCAUUCAUCUGUUACUUACCCAUUUUUGGAGUAAAUGCUACCCAUCUACGGUUUUGAUUUGGGUGAAAGUUGUACCAAAGAUCGAAUCGGUCGGGUUGGGAAAAAGUCGUGAAAGUUCCUAUUGUGAAGGCAAUUUUGAUGUCAAGGGUUUGUACGGGGCAUUCGAUGGACUCUCUUAUUUGCUUUUUACCUUUUAAUAUCUUCAUACAUGCAUAUUCCGUUGAUAAGUCGUUACAUAUGAUUUACGAGAGAGAAACAAAUCUUAUAAAAAAGUUUGUAUGGUAGAGUGAUUGUUUUUCUUCGAAAAAAACUGGUCGAGAAUAUCUUAAUUAGCUGAAGUAAAACUUCAAUAGAGCUGUAUAUUGAUUCGAUAUGUAUAGGAAAAAGGUUCAAAAUCUCGACACGAUUGAACCGAUACGGAAUUAUAUUCAAUACAUAGAGGAGGAUCUAGUGACUUGCAUUUAUGAUAUGAAAUUGAAUGAUACUAUUAUUGCCGCCAAUGGUCGCUUUUCACGUGCUGCCUACUGAAAUUCAUUACAGUGACAGUAGAUGAAGGAAAUCGGUUUUGGGAGGAUUUAGGUUCGAGUUGGGUCGGGUGUUUUAAAGUAGAACCUAGGGUUGACCAAAUUAGACUACCGUCCAAGGCUUUUCCCCGAGAACAAUGAAAAUCUAUGCAAAUUUUUCAAAAUCAAAGUCUAUGAGUUAUACUUUUAAACUUAAAUUAGAAUUGUGCGUGCGAUAUUGCGGAAAAUAUUAAAACAAAACACUAUUUAUUCAAUAGUAAUUCAUGUUUUACUUUUAUAGAUAGAAUAGAAAACGUAUUAGAAAAAUGAAAACGUGCAACAAUUUAAGUCAUGUCAAUUGAAAAAUGAAAAUUACCACAAGACCAUAAAAUGUAAGAUGUGAGCUCAAAAUAAAGUCAUCAUAAACUCAAAAUAAAGCGAUAAUAAACUCAAAAGAAAGCCCUAAUAAAAGAACCAAACACUAUUCAUUCAAUAGUAAUUCAUAUUUUUCUUUUAUAGAUGGAAUAGAAAACGUAUUAGAAAAAUGAAAGCGUGAAAUAAUUUAAGUCAUGUCAAUUGAAGAAUGAAAAAUACCACAAGACCCAUAAAAGGUAAUAUGGAGCUCAAAAUAAAGUCAUCAUAAACUCAAAAUAAAGCCCUCAUAAACUCAAAGUAAACUCAAAAUAGAAGUUUAAUAAACUCAAAAUAAAGCCUUAAUAAGAUAUCCAAACACUAUUCAUUUAAUAGUAAUUCAUGUUCUCCUUUUAUAAAUAAAAUCACCGUCCAGAGUCUAUACCAUCCUAGUUAUGUUAAUGGACGGUUACAAACGUGGCAAGAAAAAGUAGAAUAGCCCGAAAGAGCGGAGGUCGGGUCGGAUUCUAUAGGCUUAAAAAAACGAAUUAUGUAGGGUUGGAUUCAAGAUUUGAAGUGCUAGGUCGAACUACCAAAAUAUAUCAAAGACAUACAUUUAUGACUACUAUCAACACUCUAAACAAUAAUGGGGUUGUCCGAGGCUUCAAACCCCAUGCCUUUUGUAGGCGGGCCGAGCGCAACAAUAUAACUCAUGUCUCGUAGUAGGUUAGAUAUUACUCGUCCAAAACAUACCGAAUCAUGUUUAUUACAAUGAAUAUAUGUCCAGUUCAUUAAGAGAAUAUCAAGAUUCAAUACGUGAGCGGAAGGAAAAUCCGACUCUUUUACUUUAUAUAGACAACUCAUUUUCUUACUAACCAAACCAGAGUCCGGAUCAUAAGGAAUGGGCUUGAUUUUUUAUUUGACAAAUCGGUUUGAUGAUAACCACACCAUGCAAUUUGCAGCAUGGAUAGCUUAGCCAUUCAUCUAAGUUCGAUAAAACAAAAGAGAGUCAAAGAUGUUGACCAAUGGACUCACAUUUAUAAUACCAUACGUUUACCCUCUCUACUCACUGGUAAGACUGCCUAGGGAUGCAGAAAAAGAUAUAAGCAUUCAAUUCGAUCCCCAGAAAGUCAAAAACAGUACACUGAUGAAGAUUUUGGGACAAGAUUGAAGUCCAAGUCAAACUGUUCAAAGUAAUAUGUACCGGAGGCAGAGAUCGAAUCGAUAGUAUUAUGCCAGAUCAACCUUAUCAGAGAUUGAACCAUUUCGAGGCAAAAGUAACUCUCAACAUUCUACUAUCCAUACUCGGAGUGGUAGGCUCAUUCGAGUCACGGGAAUUUCAUUUCAAACAAAAACAUUAUUCCAAAAUGACAUGACAAGAAGAAGAGGAAGGAAACUCUGUUAAACAAAGCCAAUUAGGGCUAAUAAUGUUAUGUUCAUCAAUCAUUUGUACUGGUUUCUCAAAUCCUUAAGAUCUCAAAGUAAAAGAAAAAGUCCCUCAAUCAUGGUGACUUCACCGUUGAGUAUAUUCCUCGAGUGUCCAAGUUAGGUCUCAGUCUUGUCUUCCUGCAAAAACCAUGAGCAAUCUUUGUUAGAAAAAUGCCGGAUCGUUCAUCGUCAUACAGCAAGAUUGUUUAUGGUAAGCUUUGUUUCUAAUCAGUAUGCCAAAAGGACAAAGGUUGUGCCUUUAUUUCAUAUCCUAAUAAUUUAAUUUAGCCAGCUUAGCAUCCUAAGCCUAUAGCUCUCAAUUGAUGAUGGAACAAAGAAGAAACGAUUGCUAGCAAUGAAGCAACUAUAAAAUAGCAUUACCAAGUAGCUUGAUCAUAUGAUACUCGCCGUGACUGCAUAUUUAACAGGAGCUAUCUAUCUGAAUAAGAACCUAGUUCCAUUGAAACUCUAGUUAAGAAUACCAUAUUCAGCUACUAGUGUCAUUUAACUCUUUGUUCCGUAAGCUACAUGAAUGCAUAGAAACCUAAGAAACAGUGAGCAGAUUCUCAGAAAAAGAUAUCGCCAGCCGAACUCACCUGAGGAGUGGGAGGACUUUCCACCACCUUAGAAGGAGGAGGAGUGGGAGGACUGCUUGUCACCUUAGGAGCUGGCAAUGUCACGGGAGACCCCUCGAAAAUACGAGAGCACUCAGUGUAUGCAGCUCCAACGCCAACUCCUGCACCAAAGCCUACAGCAGCCCAUCGAGACACAGGGCUCCCUAUUUCGAAAACAGAAGAAUGCAUCAAUCUUCACUGUUGGAUUCAAACAUGAAUCAAAAAGCACAUAUCUUCCUUAUCUCACUCAUUCCACAUAUAGACUGUGUAUCCAUGCUUCAUAGUACACCAGCAAUCUCUUAAGUCUUUAAGUUGUACAAUCCCAGAAGAAUUAACUUAUUACAGCUAUGAUAAACACUAAAGACACUCUCUUUAAACAGCCAUCACUACCAAAUCGAAUUAAGAUAGGCCCAGUUCGAAAAGCAAUCUAGCAUUGUGAGUUAAGACUCAAUUGAACAGAAGACUUUCGAGCAGCAAUCUAGCAUUGUGAGACGAAACUCAAUUGAACAGAAGACUUCCAAAUUCUAGGCCAAACAAUGGUGAAGUAAUUCUAACGAAGGAAUCAUAAAAAAAGACAACCCUAAUUCCUACAAACAGCCAUGCAAGGAUAAAGUUUCGAUCUUUUUUCAACUAAUCCGAGAAAAAUUCUCACCAACCCGAUAGAAAGAACAACGAUUUCAAAUACCACAAACCCUAACGUGAGCUAAAGAGAUGGGGGGAGAAUACUGACUGCAGAAGAGGAGGCCGCCGAAGGCGCCGGCCAUGGUAGAGUACACGGUGCGGCGAACGGUGAGAUCGAUGCAAGCGUCCCAUUUGGCGUUGACGUCUACGGAUUCCGACAUACUUCGAAGAAUUUUCUCGUUCUUCAGUUUUCUCUGGUUUCUACUUCGAUUUCGAUUUCUUUCUUCUUCUUCUUCUUCUGGUUUCUUCAAUUGGUUUUUGCCUCCAUUAUUCUCUUCCCGCGGUCGGGCCCGAAUUUGGGUUCUUAGGCAAUCAAGGCCCAUUUAUUUAGGCCUUGUGAAAAGCCCAUGUGAUACGAUGAUCAAGCAAGAUUCCAACAUUAGAGGUUGAAUUGGAGAACUCCUCCCUAUACUAUUCUGUGAUGUUGUAAUAAGGUAAGUUUUAGAUUUUCGAUUUGUAGGUCGGAUACUUGUUUAAGCAGAUCAGAUGUGCUAUAAGAAAGUAGUGAGGAGUGAGCUCCUCAAGAUUCGAACAUGAAAUUCUUGAAUUUGAAAUAGUCGAUAUUUGGCGCCCUCUUCAACUAAAAAAUCAUCUUGGUAUAAAAUGGAAAGCCAACGUCAAAUAUAAAGUAUUUAACUUAUAUCCAACCGAAUAUUUCACCAACUCAAUUAAAAUAAUUAGAUCAAGUUUGCCAACCAAACAACCACCAAUUACCAGCUAGAUUCUCCAACUAUGUACAUUCCCAAAUUUUAUCAAAACAAUUAAACCUCUGUCUCCAGCACAAAAGCUAAUAAUCAAUAAGAUUUUUAUUUCAAAAAAUAAUUUUCUACAAGAUAUUCUUACAAGAUUGCAUCACUAAAUAAUAAAGGGAAUCAACUUAAAAUUAAUAAUAAUAAAUAAAUAUGAAAAAGACAGCAAAGAAAAAUCAACCAACAGCUUUUGGUGGCUUCUGGAAGCAAGCAAUCAAUGUGGUUUUAUAUACAAUUAUUCAACUAAUUCGUCAUGUAUUCAAAACAUUCAAUUUUACUAAUGAUGGUCUCGGCCUAAGCCGGAUUGGUCAGGUCUCGUACUGAAUGAUCAAGGAGCAAGUAAUUAAGGUAGAUUUUUUAUAGUUCGUCAAAUAAUGCAGGUUCUCCAUUUACAGACAGAAUACUCAAAACAAGGAGCUUUGAUCUCACCCUUCAUAAGCUUAACCCGUCGACCUUAUAUCUAACUCUACUCCUCUGAAGGUCCAUCACACUCGAUCUGUCAAGCAUCCAGGGAGGUUAUUUAUCUCGAACCACUCCUUGUAUUACCAACAUGACGCAACUAUGAAUGAAUGAUAUAAAAUUAAUAUAUUGGACUCUUUCCUAACAAUUGAAAUGACAUGAUAUGAGAGUUUUUACCGACGAAAGGUCAUCUUUUGAUCUCGUUAGCUUUCAAUCCGUUAUACAAAAUAUACCGAAGUUAUGCAAGUUUUACACUCUUCCAAGAACUUUCGUUUGAAGAGAAGAGGUAGUUAAUGAAUAACGGUAUUCAUUUCUUUUCAAACCAUUGAGAAAGUUUUUCAUAUGGAUUAAGCUAUUUACCUGGAUGCCAAGCUUUGAAAUCAAACACUCCAAAAAAUAAUAGAAUCUUGUUUGGGGAUCUCAUAAUGAAUCUGUCAGCAUAUUUGGAAUGUUUGUCCAGCACAAAUGAACUAGUAGAUUCCCACUGAGGGGAAAUGGAAUCUUUUUUCAAUCAAUAUGUUUUCCCCAAAUAUAAGCACCAAAGGGAGAAAAGAAGAUCAUUUUAAUGGACACACUUGUCAACUCAAUUAAUUAUCCUUUCAUAAUUAUGAAAAAUAUAUUAUAUAUUUCCACAAUUAUCCACAAAAAUGAAUUUUCAGGAUUCUAAUUAAAUUAUAUUAUCAUGUAUCGAAAAACGGUAGAUCAUAAAUAUGAAUCACAUAAUUAUUUAUCAACAACAAAUGAAUUAGCGGUGUGAUUACUUUCUUUGUAUGUAUUAACUACUUUUACCUUCAAAUUAAACUCAGCUUAGCAAAUUAAAGACAAGAUUUAGGAUGAUCGACAUCAUCCCUAUCAAGAAAAAAGACAAAAAAUUCGUCAAAAAUCAAUUUACAUUAUAAUUAUUCUUUUUGUAUAUCCAAAAUUUCAUAAUAUUAUCUAUCAAUGUUUCAAUUAAGAUCAAAUAAUGUAAAGCGUCGUGUGAACCUUAUCACGAAACAUUGAAUAUCGUGCCAGGGCCCCAUUAAGUCUCACAUCCUAAACAGAAUUGUGGGUCAAGAGGGAAUAUAAUUUGGUAUGUACAUGUACAUAUCCAACUGUUAAAUUGCUGUCCAAUUCUUUCUAAGUUCCACACACACCAAGCUGCAAUCAUGGAGAUUAGUGGGUUGUUAACGUGCAUGCCUACCAUUCUCCCACCAAAUUAUAUUUCUUAUAAUAUCAUACCUAAUUAUUUUAAAAAAGAUAAUGAUCAUCCUAGAUUAUUAUUCACCAUACUAAUAAUGAUAAAUAGGCAUUUCAACGUCUAAUUAAUAACCAUUCAUAUUUUUUUAUUCGCAGAAAAAUAUAUCCUUAUUUUGUUUCCAUCUAUAAAGGGCAGCAUAUAUAGUAAUUGUUGGUUCCAGGAUCCCAUUUGAUUUGAUAAAUUUAUGUUCAUACGGGAUUUCUACGUCAUACAAUUAAUCGCUCUAUUUGUUAUAUGAGGGAUCAAUGAUAAAGAAAUACGAUCAUAGGAUGAAAGGAUAACCUUCAUGAUGAAUAAUUCAAAGAAAUAUUGUCAUGGCCACUUACCCUUUUGGCUUUUAAGCGCGAGAAUAAGUGUGAGAGUGUAAGCUAGGAUCAACUAUAGGAGAUUUGUGCCAUUGAUGCGUCUUGAUCGUAGGAUCUAUCGUAGAAGAUUUUCAGUUGAGAAAGAGGGUCGUUGAUAUGGCGUGUCAUCAACGCGACCCAUUUAUCAUAUGAUUUUUUAGCGUUGAAGGUAAUUAUCUCUGGAGGAGGUGGUAGCAUUGUUCAAAAUCUUAUCGUUUCUAACUUUCCAGAUAUUUUACAUGAUCGAUAAACAUUUCCGAGAAUUUCGGGCUUAAAAUUUGCAUAAAACUAAAUAUUACUGUUUUUAAAGUAUAUAUCGUAUUUGCAUGUAUAAGAUACUGUGCAUUAUGGAAUUCCACUUUCGAAAAAAUCAUGGCUCUGGCAGUAGCUAUGUAUGACCCAGCCACUUUGGUUCCUUUUAAUUUCCUUUUGGAAAGAUAGACAUGACUACUCGGACAGCUUGGCAUUGAUAGGAAUGAUAAUUGGACUCAGCUCAACCCAAUUGAAUCAACCCGGUUCGAUUAUUCACAAGUCGAGAUAUACCUUGAAAGAGCUUAUGAAAAAAUAUAAAUUUUCUUUCAUCGCAAUUUAGCUGGUCAGGCCAUUUGAUUUGAAUGGGUGACGAGCUUGAUAUUCAUGAUGGUUAUCGUUAUUGCAUUUGUAACAACAUAAUUGUCAACUUAAAUUCGAUAAGUUACAUAUCACUAACCUAGUGUCUUUCUAACCAACGUGAUCAUUAUAUCAACUCUAUGUCUGAAAAUUAUGUUAAAUUCACCAUGACAUCUUAUCAUUCAUGCCCAUGUUAUCUAUCAACAUUCUACCGCAUAUCCAACGUAUCUAACCAACCACACCCAACCCAACCUAAAAUCCGACAAAGUAAUAAAAUUCUUAUUGAAGGGACCAAAGGGUCAAUUAUAAGAUGGACAAAUGAAGUGUUACCGAGUAAAAUGGAAGAAAGGAUGAGUUAAUAUAAUGGUCUUGUGAAAUUGAUGGAAUGACCAUGUUGUUUUCAAACGCAACAAAUUAGUUAUAUGUGUUUGCUUUUUAAGUGUGGAUCAUCAUCAUGUUGUUAUAAACCCAGUAAGUCGAUGACCACAAUAGAUAUUAAACUCAUGUUUUAGAGCAAGCAUCAAUUAAUCAGCGGGUGAAAUGCCUAGACUUGUUACAUAUUCGAUUUUUGAAACUUUUAAAUAUUAUAUAUAGUGGUCCUAAAAUUUUAAACUAUUAUUAGGUAAAGUAAUGCCGAAUUUCCUACAUAUACAUAACAUUUGAAAAUUUGCAGGACCAACACGCAAUUUUGUCAAAAAAUCAAGGAACCAUAUGAUCCAACACAAAAGACAAAACCAACAAUUGGAACAUGUCUCACUGGAACAUGCCUUGAUGAAUACCAUCGAUAUCCAAGAAAUUUGGCAUUUUUAGGUAUUAAAGUUAACAAAUAAGCAUAUAAUUGGUUGGCACGUACUUAGGUUAGAAUAUUUACCAAUUAGAAACAACGUAGGAUCAUCACUAGGGAUAAACAAAGGCUGUGUUUGGCCUUAUUAUAGCUUCGACUUCAUCACCAAAUUUGGAAUAACAUGUUGUUAGUUUCAUCAUUAUGAUGUAGGAAAUUAAAAAGUUUUUUUGAGAUUAAUGCAAAUAAAAUUAUUUUAGAAAUUGGUAGAAUUUGAUAUAUAACUUUUUGAUUUAAUUGGACCAUGAAAAGCUUAUGAUAUAAUUUGUAGCACAGUCAAGUUGUAUAUAACUCGAGUUAUUGAGAAUCGUUCGUAAUUGACUUAUAGAGUGCUUACUAAUAAUUUGGUGUUGUUAUACUCGAUUAGUUGUAGAGAUAGGGAUUUGUAACGGUGUGGUGGAUAAUUGUUUAACACAUAAUUUUUAACCCUUUUUUAAUAAAAUGUGUAGUCCUUUUUUUUAUGAAGACGGAUUGAGUGAUUAAUGAUUUAUCUUUUUAGUAGUUCACUGGUUAAAAAUGAAACACAAAAGAAAUUUAGAAAAUGUAAUGAUUGAGAGUACUUCCUUUUCUUGUCCAAUGUUGAAACAUCAUGCUUUGCCUAACUUUGAUUCUUUCCUUUUGUUUUCAUCAAUAGUAUCAUAUGUUAUUCAUUAUUUAAUAAAAUAUUAUUCCCAAUUUUCACUUUCCUCCCCAAUCCAAAAUAUGCAAUCAAUAUGAAUAUCUCUACAAAAUUCGAGAGUUUGAUGUUUAAUCCGAUUCAACUUGUUAAACAUAUAUUUAAUUUCAAGAUAUCAUACAGUUUAUGUAUGUCAUUAAGGAUGUUCUUCAUAAUGUAUAGUAGUAAUUUAACUAUAGUUUAUAGUGAUUGUAUUCCAUUAAAUCACAUACUUAAUACAUUAUUGUCUACUCGGUGAAUUAGACUAUGGUGAUGUAUAGUUUGAAUGAGUUUGAUUCAAUAAAUAUAUUUAAUAACUCUUUUGAAGAUGUGUAGGUAAUGUCACGAAAACACAACUACACACGGCUUUCAUGCGGAUGUGAAACAAUACAUGAUUGAUGGAACUAAAGUAUAUAGCAUUAAGAUGUUACAUGACGUAAUGUGAUGUAAACUUACGACGUGAACGAAGUAUUCGAAAAAUCAUUCGGUCCAAACCGGUUUAGCAUCCGAACCGUGAUGGGCUUGACUUUUGUGUCUUUAUUAAAGGUAAUUAAAUGGAACUCGGAGUUACCAAAUCAAACCACCAACUACAACGGUUAAGGAAGAACAUAUCACGCUUUUUCUCUCUGUCGAAAUUGAAAUGGGCCCACUAAUAUGAACUGGCCGGCCCAAGUAGCUGGCAAACAAACAUGUCUGACAGCCUGUUCUCUCUUUCCCUUUCUAAAACUCCCAAAACCCCAAAUACCGAAAACACCCUUUUAGUCCAUUUCAAAAUUCAUUAAAAUUUUUGAACCAGUUUGAAUAACAUAAUAAUUACUAAUUAUAUUAACUAGUUCGGUUCGGGUGAUGUCUAGAUCAAAUAUAGACAGAACCUUCGAAAUAGGAGCAUCAAUUGGGCAAUAGGUUAGAUCAGAAAUUGGAAAAAAGCAUACUUACUUUGUUGUAUAAUUGUCUUCAUGAUAGAUAUGAAUAGAUUCGAAUUUUUACGCCUUCUUCAUCAACUCGUGAAUCUAAUUCAAAACACCAGAGUGUUAGCUGGUAAAUCCCCAUGUUGCAUGACGUAUCACUAUAAUGUGUAUCAUGUAUUUUUUUGUAUUAAGGCCAGUCACAUCAGCUCUUUAAUACAUAUUGGGUGAUCGAACCGACACCAUACUACAGUUAAACAUCGAUUAAACAAGGCCAACAUAAUCUCGAAUCAAACUCUCAUAUGGCUGCUUAACCUAUCUCUGGAUUAACAGAACCAUUCGAAUUAAGAACAACUCAUUUUAAAGGUACCGAUUUUUUAUGAAAUUUGCACCUUCCCCAUAAGAGAGCUACCAUGCCUAACAGCCUAAUCUCAUAUGUAAGUGUUCUUAAAAAUAAUAAUCCAACCACAUAUCCUCUAUAACAAUAUGACUCGAAAUUAUAUGAAAUAAAGCUUAAUUCCUAGACAUUUGAUCAUCAUUUAUUGUAUACAAUUUGACUAGUAAAAAUCUCCUAAUUAUUUCCCACUUACAAAUAACAAAUUAUAAUCAAACAACAUUUAACGGGCCACCAAAAUCAUAUUUAUGGCAAUUAUUGUCACUUUUAAAAUCUUAAACCAACAAAUGUACUCCACCUAUUUGUUUUUCAAAAAAACCUUAAUUAAUUACUUCAAUAAUUAAAAACCUAAAAUUAACCAAAACGACAGCCGUUAAACAACUCACCCAACAAAAAACCCUAGCCGCAGAUUCUCCCUCCCCCUCCCUUUAAAACUCCCUUUCCCCCUUUCCCAUUCCUCUGUUCACUCUCUUCUUCAACCUCUCUCUCUCUCUCUCUGUAACUUUCCCUUUCCCCCAAAUUUCCUCUCUCUAGACAAAGAUUCAAACUUUCACAUCCAUGGCGGAAGAAACGCAAACCCCAGCUGCAGCCGCAGCUGCCCCUGCUGAGGUAGUCGUGGUUGAGAAGCCAGUCACCGAUUCCCCUGCACCACCAGUCCCAGACCCGGCGGGGGAGGGGGAGGAAGCCGAC